GGGGGGGGGGAGGAUAAAGGAGGAGGCUCCGCUUGAAAAAGGGGGAAAUAAGAGAAUAAAAUAAUGAGAGGAGAAAUCCCCAAAGUGCUUAGUCACCGCUGUCCCGGCCCGGGGUGUCUCACACAGCAACAGCUGGAGGAUGGGGGGUUGCUCCCCUCGCUCCUCGGAACCCCUCGGUGCCCCCCACGUAUCCCUCGGUGUCGCUGGGUACCCCCUGCAUCCCCUGGCACUUCCCGGCGUCGGCACCGCAGCGUGGGGUGCACCGGGGUGGAGUGCGGGGGCGGGGGGAGCAGGUGGGUGCUGGGGAUGCUGGAGGUGGGGUUCGUAAGGUAAUGGGGGUGACGGAGGUGCAGUCCUUGGGGUGAUGGGAGUGGGGUCUUUGGGGUAAUGGAGGUGAUGGAGGUGGGGUCCUUGGGGUGGUGGGAGUGGGGUCUGUGGGGUAAUGGAGACGAUGGAGGUGGAGUCUUUGGGGUAACGGUGGUGGUGUCCUUCGGGUGAUGGAAGUGAGGUCCACCAGGUGCUGUGGGUGAUUGAGAUGAAGUCUUGGGGAUCUGAGACAUUGGGGUGCUGGGUAUGUUGGAAAUGGGGUUCUUGGAGUGCUGGAAGUGACAGAAGUGGGGUCCUUAGGGUAACAGAGAUGAUGGAGAUGGGGUUCUUGUGUGCUAGGGUGAUGGAGGUAGGGUUCUUGGGGUGUUGGAGGUGAUGGAGGUGUUGGAGGUACUGGUGGUGGGACUCGUAAGGUAAUGGAGGUGAUGGAAAUGAGGUCCUUGUGUGCUAGUGGUAAUGUAGCUGAUAGAGGUGGUCCUUGGGGUGUUGGAGAAUGGGCUUGGGGGUUCUAAGAAUGUUGGAGAUAGGAUUAUUGGGGUGCUGGAGAUGAUGGAGGUGGGGUUCUUAGGGUAUUAGAGGUGAUGUUGGUGGGAUUCUUGUGUUCUAGAGGUGAUGGAAGUGGAUCCUCGGAGUGUUGGAGUUGAGAUCCUUGUGAUGCUGGAGAUGGGGUUUUGGGGUGUUGGAAGUAUUGGAGAUGGGGUCUUGGGGUGCUGGGACAGUGGGGCACUGGGGAUGCUGGAGGUGGAGUUCUUGGAGGUGCUGGGGGUAAUGGAAUAGGGGUGUGUUAGAGGUCGGGGGUGUUUUGGAGGUGCUGGAGGAGGAGGUACGGGGGGUGCUGGGAUGGUGCAGGACAGUGGCGAUGGGGUGCAGGGGGCAGUGGGGGUGGGAGUAGUGGUGGGCUCCGGAGUGCCAGCGGUGACAAAGGAGUGGGUCCUGGGGGUGGAGGGAGGUGCGCAGGUCGUUCCAAGGUGCAGGGGAGGUGCGGGGAGGAGUGCGAGAGCAGGGGAAGAGAUGCAUGGAUGCAAGGGCGCAGAGGCGGGGCGGGGGGGAGGGGGUGCCGAGGCACGCAGGAUGCAGAGAAAGGGGUGCAAGGGUGCAAGAAGCGGGGGGGAGAACGUUGG
ensembl:lncRNA